GCCGACAUAGCUCAGUUGGGAGAGCGUAAGACUGAAGAUCUUAAGGUCCCUGGUGUCGGCA
rnacentral:tRNA from 1 species